rnacentral:lncRNA from 1 species
CUUUUUGGAAUAGUAAAAAAUUAAAAAAAAGCUGAAAAAGUGAUUCAAAAACAAAUAGAUGACAGAAAUGAAGAUAAUUAUUAUCAGUAUAUAGAUGAUUUUGCUUAUAGAUAUCCGAGAAAAUUUAGUCAAACCAUAUGUAAGCAAAAUAUAACUAAAAAUAAAAAUAAAAGGAUUAAAAAAUGGGACAAUUCUGACAUAGAAGAAUAUGUACGACAAAGUCAAAAUAAGCGUACGAGCAUUUGGGCAAAAUGUUUCAAUAGUAUAAUGGAUAAUACUAUGAGAAAAAAAAAAAAUAGACAAAAAUGUGAGCAAUAAUGGUAGUACUAAUGGCAGUACUAAUGGCGAUACUAAUAGCGGUACUAAUAAUUUUGCCAACAUAUUCACAGGCGAAAAUAACCAAAACAAAGAAAAAAAAAAAAAAAAUAAAUAGACAUUUUCACGUAAAAGACAAAGAAAAACGCAAUAAACAUAGUAAUCAAAAUUUUCCAAAAUUUCCAAAUUUUCCAGAUGUAUCAGACGUAUCAGAUGUAUUAGGCAAAAAGAAUGACCAGAAUGGGGAUGCAAACGAAGAAACAUAUACAACAUAUAGUAGCACUAAUAUUCAGAAAUAUGUUUUGAACCCGAUUUCUUCUACAAACUUCAUGACAUCUGAUUCGGAAAAUCACUCGAACGAAUCAAACGACGUUGAUGAGGAACAAGAAUCAUCAUCUGCUGACGAGGGUAUUAUACAUUAUAAAGAAUUAUACAUAAAAAAUGAAACCACUAGAAAAAACACACAGAGCAUACAAAAUAAUAUUAUAAAAGAUACUUAUUGGACAUAUAUGUGUUUAUUAAAUAUAUAUAAUAUAAGAGUUUUAGGUUUAUUUCGUUUUAUACAUCCACCAAACACAAGUUGGUAUACAAAAAUCAAAAAAUUAUUAGAAGAUUUUAAAGCAGCAUAUGUUAUUAUUUUAUACCUUCAUUUACCAUUUACACUUAUGAGUACAGUCGAACUUUUAUGGUGUCAACCAAUAAAAUACAAAAAUAAUAAUCCUACAUUAAUUUUAUAUCACAUGCCAUCACAGGUUUGUAGCUUGAAAAACAAAUUGUUUGUAUUUGGAAUAGUAUACGCUUUAUUAU